rnacentral:rRNA from 1 species
AUUGAACGCUGGCGGCAGGCCUAACACCUGCAAGUCGAGCGGAGCGGCGGACGGUUCCGUAAUGCCUAUGAAUCUGCCUGUUAGUGGGGGAUAACGUCCGGUAACGGGCGCCACUCCCGCAUACUAUCAGAUGAGCCUAGGUCGGAUUAGCUAGUUGGUGGGGUAAAGGCCUACCAAGGCGACGAUCCGUAACUGGUCUGAGAGGAUGAUCAGUCACACUGGAACUGAGACACGGUCCAGACUCCUACGGGAGGCAGCAGUGGGGAAUAUUGGACAAUGGGCGAAAGCCUGAUCCAGCCAUGCCGCGUGUGUGAAGAAGGUCUUCGGAUUGUAAAGCACUUUAAGUUGGGAGGCGUUACCAACAGAAUAAGCACCGGCUAACUUCGUGCCAGCAGCCGCGGUAAUAC